GUCAGGAUGUGGAGCUGUGGUUCUGAAAAGGACAGUCGCGUAUUCCACAGGCCCUGAGGAGGCUGAACUUCCCGGCGGUUCCUGCAGGUGGAAGAAAACCUUGGGAACAGGCUGUGGUGAGAAGGAAGAGAACAGCUGCAACCAGAGCAGUGGUGGGCAGGAAGGAGCUCAGCACCACAAGGGCAUGGAGACUGCUGCAGGGAAAACCAGGAUAUCUCCGUUACUGUUUACAGCACCAGAGCCUCACGAAUUCUGAAGAACCUCGAGUGGUGAUUCAUCAGAGGGAGAAGACAGGAAAAAACAACCCUCAUGGAGGGUCCACGUCCCCCAGCACAGGGGCAGAGCCAAGGUCAGCACAGUCCCUGAUGUCCCUUCCCACCCAAACCAUUCUGUGAUUCUAUGAUAUAUUCUGUCCCAGACCCACUUGGUUUUGAUUAAUACAAUCCUACAACAUUGCAUUCAUUGUUUUUUAUGGUAACCAGUAAAUUAUUGAUUAUUUUCUUUUUUUUUUCCUUUGAGACAUUUUAUUUAAUAUAGCAAAAAUAAUUUCCUGGACACUUCUGCCUCUUGAUACACACAAGUACCUGUCAUGGUUCUGUGUUGAACUAUGUAAUAGAGUUUUGCCCUGUCCUGGAUAACCUCUGAUGAGAUCUUUGUGUCCCAGUACAACAUCUUUAGCUGUGAAACAAAAAUGGGAAUGACACAUCAUUCUUGAUUUAUUUUGGCUGUCUCCCACCCAGCACACCGUUGACCUCAGAGCUCACCCUCAGGUGAAACCACCAUCUGUAUUCCCUGCAGAAGAAUAUUCUGCAGAUAUCCACAGCCGAGGGCCAGAUUCCCUCUUGGAAGUGCUGCCCUGAUCACUGAAAACCAGCGAUGUCCAGAGUCCAUCAGUCCCCUGAGCAGUGCAGGGUGUGGAAAAGGUUAAUCCUUUCUUUCACAGGGAAGCUCAAGGCUAAGACUGGACAGGACGUUUCUGACAGCCCCUUGCACCACUAUCUCUUCUCCCAUAACUUCAUAACUUCUUGUUGGCUCUGGAGGACUCUCCCUCUGUGCACAGACACUCUUAUGAGCCUUACCUGGUAGUGCCAGCAAGAGCAGCAGGGCUGGAAAACCUU